UACGGAGGGGGCGAGCGUUGUUCGGAAUCACUGGGCGUAAAGCGUGCGUAGGCGGUUUUGUAAGUCAGAAGUGAAAGCCUAGGGCUUAACCCUAGAACUGCUUUUGAAACUACAUCACUAGAGUCCCGGAGGGGUAGAUGGAAUUCCGAGUGUAGAGGUGAAAUUCGCAGAUAUUCGGAGGAACACCAGUGGCGAAGGCGAUCUACUGGACGGGAACUGACGCUGAGGCACGAAAGCGUGGGGAGCAAACAGG
rnacentral:rRNA from 1 species